UUUGAUCCUGGCUCAGGAUGAACGCUAGCGGCAGGCUUAACACAUGCAAGUCGAGGGGUAACAGGGAUUGCUUGCAAUCCGCUGACGACCGGCGCACGGGUGCGUAACGCGUAUGCAACCUACCUUCUACAGGGGGAUAGUCAAUAGAAAUGUUGAAUAAUACCCCAUACGAUCUUUGAAUAGCAUUAUUUAAAGAAGAAAGUUCCGGCGGUAGAAGAUGGGCAUGCGUCCUAUUAGUUAGUUGGAGAGGUAACGGCUCCCCAAGACAUCGAUAGGUAGGGGUCCUGAGAGGGAGACCCCCCACACUGGUACUGAGACACGGACCAGACUCCUACGGGAGGCAGCAGUGAGGAAUAUUGGACAAUGGAGGCAACUCUGAUCCAGCCAUGCCGCGUGCAGGAAGACUGCCCUAUGGGUUGUAAACUGCUUUUAUACNGGAAGAAUAAGCCUUACGUGUAAGGUGAUGACGGUACUGUAAGAAUAAGGACCGGCUAACUCCGUGCCAGCAGCCGCGGUAAUAAGGG
rnacentral:rRNA from 1 species